AGAGUUUGAUCCUUGGCUCAGGAUGAACGCUGGCGGCGUGCUUAACACAUGCAAGUCGAACGGUGAAGCCAAGCUUGCUUGGUGGAUCAGUGGCGAACGGGUGAGUAACACGUGAGCAACCUGCCCUGGACUCUGGGAUAAGCGCUGGAAACGGCGUCUAAUACUGGAUAUGAGCUCUCAUCGCAUGGUGGGGGUUGGAAAGAUUUUUCGGUCUGGGAUGGGCUCGCGGCCUAUCAGCUUGUUGGUGAGGUAAUGGCUCACCAAGGCGUCGACGGGUAGCCGGCCUGAGAGGGUGACCGGCCACACUGGGACUGAGACACGGCCCAGACUCCUACGGGAGGCAGCAGUGGGGAAUAUUGCACAAUGGGCGGAAGCCUGAUGCAGCAACGCCGCGUGAGGGAUGACGGCCUUCGGGUUGUAAACCUCUUUUAGCAGGGAAGAAGCGAGAGUGACGGUACCUGCAGAAAAAGCGUCGGCUAACUACGUGCCAGCAGCCGCGGUAAUACGUAGGGCGCAAGCGUUAUCCGGAAUUAUUGGGCGUAAAGAGCUCGUAGGCGGUUUGUCGCGUCUGCUGUGAAAUCCCGAGGCUCAACCUCGGGCCUGCAGUGGGUACGGGCAGACUAGAGUGCGGUAGGGGAGAUUGGAAUUCCUGGUGUAGCGGUGGAAUGCGCAGAUAUCAGGAGGAACACCGAUGGCGAAGGCAGAUCUCUGGGCCGUAACUGACGCUGAGGAGCGAAAGGGUGGGGAGCAAACAGGCUUAGAUACCCUGGUAGUCCACCCCGUAAACGUUGGGAACUAGUUGUGGGGACCAUUCCACGGUUUCCGUGACGCAGCUAACGCAUUAAGUUCCCCGCCUGGGGAGUACGGCCGCAAGGCUAAAACUCAAAGGAAUUGACGGGGACCCGCACAAGCGGCGGAGCAUGCGGAUUAAUUCGAUGCAACGCGAAGAACCUUACCAAGGCUUGACAUAUACGAGAACGGGCCAGAAAUGGUCAACUCUUUGGACACUCGUAAACAGGUGGUGCAUGGUUGUCGUCAGCUCGUGUCGUGAGAUGUUGGGUUAAGUCCCGCAACGAGCGCAACCCUCGUUCUAUGUUGCCAGCACGUAAUGGUGGGAACUCAUGGGAUACUGCCGGGGUCAACUCGGAGGAAGGUGGGGAUGACGUCAAAUCAUCAUGCCCCUUAUGUCUUGGGCUUCACGCAUGCUACAAUGGCCGGUACAAAGGGCUGCAAUACCGUGAGGUGGAGCGAAUCCCAAAAAGCCGGUCCCAGUUCGGAUUGAGGUCUGCAACUCGACCUCAUGAAGUCGGAGUCGCUAGUAAUCGCAGAUCAGCAACGCUGCGGUGAAUACGUUCCCGGGUCUUGUACACACCGCCCGUCAAGUCAUGAAAGUCGGUAACACCUGAAGCCGGUGGCCCAACCCUUGUGGAGGGAGCCGUCGAAGGUGGGAUCGGUAAUUAGGACUAAGUCGUAACAAGGUAACCG
rnacentral:rRNA from 1 species